CAGGAGGGUGCUGAGCAGGACAGAGGUGGUACCAUAGCUGUUCUCGGCCUGAGAACAAACCUUUGGUUUGGGGCUUAGGGCUGCCAGAAGUCACGGCAAAUGGGGCCAGGUGCAGUGGUUCAUGCCUGUAAUCCCAGCACUUUGGGAGGCUGAGGCGGGCGGAUUAAAAGGCCAGGAGAUGGAGACCAUCUUGGCCAACAUGGUGAAACCCCGUCUCUACUAAAA